rnacentral:tRNA from 1 species
GGCAACGUGGCCGAGCGGUCAAAGGCGAUUGACCUGAAUAAUAUUCACUUGAAACCAAUUCUCUUCGGAGGCGCAUGUUCAAAUCAUGCCGUUGUCG